AGCAGUAGCCACGGGAAUACGGAGGGAGCUAGCGUUGUUCGGAAUUACUGGGCGUAAAGCGCACGUAGGCGGUCUGACAAGUCAGAUGUGAAAUCCCCGGGCUUAACCUGGGAACUGCAUUUGAAACUGUCAGGCUGGAGUCUUGUAGAGGGGGGUAGAAUUCCAGGUGUAGCGGUGAAAUGCGUAGAGAUCUGGAGGAAUACCGGUGGCGAAGGCGGCCCCCUGGACAAAGACUGACGCUCAGGUGCGAAAGCGUGGGGAGCAAACAGGAUUAGAUACCCGUGUAGUCCCUGUCUCUUAUAC
rnacentral:rRNA from 1 species